CUGAGCUCAACAUUUUUCCAUAAAUCGUACCUUAAUUCUUCUCUCGGUGUCAUCUAACUUUAACUCUGCUGAAACUAGUUUCUUUGCCAAAUCAUCCCGUUCAGGU